rnacentral:rRNA from 1 species
CCUACGGGAGGCAGCAGUGAGGAAUAUUGGUCAAUGGACGAGAGUCUGAACCAGCCAAGUAGCGUGAAGGAUGACUGCCCUAUGGGUUGUAAACUUCUUUUAUAAAGGAAUAAAACGAGGCACGUGUGCCUUUUUGCAUGUACUUUAUGAAUAAGGAUCGGCUAACUCCGUGCCAGCAGCCGCGGUAAUACGGAGGAUCCGAGCGUUAUCCGGAUUUCUUGGGUUUAAAGGGAGCGUAGAUGGGUUGUUAAGUCAGUUGUGAAAGUUUGCGGCUCAACCGUAAAAUUGCAAUUGAUACUGGCAGGCUUGAGUACAGUUGAGGUAGGCGGAAUUCGUGGUGUAGCGGUGAAAUGCUUAGAUAUCACGAAGAACCCCGAUUGCGAAGGCAGAUUACUAAACUGUGACUGACAUUGAUGCUCGAAAGUGUGGGUAUCAAACAGGAUUAGAUACCCGUGUAG